UUCCGGUUGAUCCUGCCGGACCUGACUGCUAUCGGAUUGAUACUAAGCCAUGCGAGUCAUUGUAGCAAUACAAGGCAGACGGCUCAGUAACGCGUAGUCAACCUAACCUAUGGACGGGAAUAACCUCGGGAAACUGAGAAUAAUGCCCGAUAGAACACUAUAUCUGGAAUGGUUUGUGUUCCAAAUGAUUUAUCGCCGUAGGAUGGGACUGCGGCCUAUCAGUUUGUUGGUGAGGUAAUGGCCCACCAAGACUAUUACAGGUACGGGCUCUGAGAGGAGUAGCCCGGAGAUGGGUACUGAGACACGGACCCAGGCCCUAUGGGGCGCAGCAGGCGAGAAAACUUUGCAAUGUGCGAAAGCACGACAAGGUUAAUCCGAGUGGUUUCUGCUAAAGGAACCUUUUGUCGGUCCUAGAAACACCGAUGAAUAAGGGGUGGGCAAGUUCUGGUGUCAGCCGCCGCGGUAAAACCAGCACCUCAAGUGGUCAGGAUGAUUAUUGGGCCUAAAGCAUCCGUAGCCUGCUUUGUUAGUUUUCGGUUAAAUCUAUACGCUCAACGUAUAGGCUGCCGGGAAUACUGCAAAGCUAGGGAGUGGGAGAGGUAGACGGUACUCGGUAGGAGGGGUAAAAUCCUUUGAUCUAUUGAUGACCACCUGUGGCGAAGGCGGCCUACCAGAACACGUCCGACGGUGAGGGAUGAAAGCUGGGGGAGCAAACCGGAUUAGAUACCCGGGUAGUCCCAGCCGUAAACCAUGCAAACUCAGUGAUGCAUUGGCUUGUGGCCAAUGCAGUGCUGCAGGGAAGCCGUUAAGUUUGCCGCCUGGGAAGUACGUACGCAAGUAUGAAACUUAAAGGAAUUGGCGGGGGAGCACCACAAGGGGUGAAGCCUGCGGUUCAAUUGGAGUCAACGCCGGG
rnacentral:rRNA from 1 species